rnacentral:rRNA from 1 species
UACGAAGGGGGCUAGCGUUGCUCGGAAUCACUGGGCGUAAAGGGUGCGUAGGCGGGUCUUUAAGUCAGGGGUGAAAUCCUGGAGCUCAACUCCAGAACUGCCUUCGAUACUGAGAGUCUCGAGUCCGAGAGAGGUGAGUGGAACUGCGAGUGUAGAGGUGAAAUUCGUAGAUAUUCGCAAGAACACCAGUGGCGAAGGCGGCUAACUGGUCCGGUUCUGACGCUGAGGCGCGAAAGCGUGGGGAGCAAACAGG